rnacentral:rRNA from 1 species
AACGAACGCUGGCGGCAUGCCUAACACAUGCAAGUCGAACGAGACCUUCGGGUCUAGUGGCGCACGGGUGCGUAACGCGUGGGAACCUGCCCUUAGGUUCGGAAUAACUCCCCGAAAGGGGUGCUAAUACCGGAUAAUGUCUUCGGUCCAAAGUUUUAUCGCCUUUGGAUGGGCCCGCGUUGGAUUAGCUAGUUGUUAGGGUAAAAGCCUACCAAGGCGACGAUCCAUAGCUGGUCUGAGAGGAUGAUCAGCCACACUGGGACUGAGACACGGCCCAGACUCCUACGGGAGGCAGCAGUGGGGAAUAUUGGACAAUGGGCGAAAGCCUGAUCCAGCAAUGCCGCGUGAGUGAUGAAGGCCUUAGGGUUGUAAAGCUCUUUUACCCGGGAUGAUAAUGACAGUACCGGGAGAAUAAGCUCCGGCUAACUCCGUG